AAAAAUGAAAAGGCUGGAGGUAUGGCUCAGGGGUAGAGCAUCCCUGGGUUCAAUCCCCAGCAACCUCCCCCAACCCCGGAAAAAAAAAACAACAGCAACAGAAGAACCAAUUCAGCAGGCACUUUGAUCUUGGACUUCCAGCCUCCAGAACUGGGAGAGAUAAAUGUCUACUGUUCAAGCCACUCAGUCUAUGAUUAUUUUUUAUGGCAGCUCAAGCUGACUAUGACACUCUCCAAGAUGGGGACAGAAGAAAGGAUACCAUGGCAGAGGUGCAGUGGAGAGCAUGGGGACAGGGGGCCAUCAGGAGGUAGACCACAGGGAGCACCCAUCUAUCCAUCCUAUGCAGAGAUGUGUGCCAGAUGCCGCGUGGGGGUGAGUUUGUGUAAUCCCUGCACUCCAAGAGCUUGCAGAUGUGUUGAGGAUCUGCACACCUAAAAACACAAGCUCUGGAGGAAAGGGGGUCCAUUCUUGGGGAUGACAAUGUGGACCUGGGAGGUCAGGAGGGUUUCACUGAUGAAGUGUCCUUUGAGCUGACAACUAUAGGAUGUGAAUCCAUUAACUUGGUAGCGACAGAAUGAAGGAAAAAUUCUAGAUGAAUUCUAGGCAAAGAGAAUGCUUGGAGCCAGAGGCCUGGUGAAGGGAGCCUGGCACUGUCAGAGCAGUGGGAGGAGCUCGGUGAGCAGGAGGGAGCGAUGGGAGAGGAGCCCCAGUGAUGUGCAGGUGCAGCCUAAGCAGGGCCUGGGCAGAGGGAGGGGCAGGUCUGCAUCUUCAGGGCAAUAGGAAAAGGUACUGAACAUUUGAGCAGAAGAGUGACACAGUCAGAUUUGCAAAAUUCCUGCAGAAGGGACUGAACAUACUUGGAGAGCCCAGCAAAACAGUCAUUGCAAAGUCUGGGCAAGACAUGGAGGUGGUGAUAGAAGUGUCCAGGUAGACAUGGCAUCUAAGAAGGAAGUUCAGCUAGGCACAGUGGCACAUGCCUGCAAUCCCAAAGAGUCACAGAAGAAUUACAAAUUUAAGGUCAGCCUCAGCAUCUUAUAGAGAGACCCUGUCUCCAAACAAGAAAAGUCUGGAGAUGUAGCUCAGGGAUAAAGCACUUGCCUAGCAUGUCUGCAAGGCCCUGGGUUCAAUCCCCAGUACUUAGGGGGAAAAUAAAGAAUAAAAGCUGGAAUUAAGUAAAGACACUAAAGGGCUUGGAGAUGCCUGGGCAGCCACACUCUUUCUCUAGAGUUCCUGGGCAACCUGGCCCAAGACUAAACACGUUGAAGUAGGGCGACCAACACGAGAAACUGCUGUGCAAGAGUCCAGCGGCUGUCCAUUGGUUCCUGACACAUCAAGGGGUCAGGCGUGGACGUCAGACCACAGGAAGUUCAUGACAUGAGCACUCUGAGAUAAAGCACCGGAAGGACCACUGGGGUUUCCUCUCGUAAAACCAAGACUACAGAUCAAGGGAUCUCUGAAAUAAGAAGGUUUAUUGAGCCAUGACAGAUGUUAGCCAGGAAAAGGGUUAGGUUCUGGGACAAGUUCCCACAACUACCAGCAGCAGCUGGAAAAAUGUCUGCAGCCAGAGUAAAGAGUAUUUUUUUUUUUAAUUUGGGGGAUUGAAAGCUCUAUAACCCACAUGGGCUAGAGAUAAGAGGGGUGGGCAAUGUGAAGUGGGUAAAUUUGGAAAUAGAAUAGUCUGCACGGAGAUGCACUUGCUUCUCACUUGGGGAUAUAAGCAGAAUGUGAUGGCACCUUCAAGGUCAUUCUCCCAAGGUUUUGAGUUAUGGUUUCAAUAUAUGUAGGAACACAGAAUAGAUAGGGUUUGCUUGUUUUUCGGCUGCACUGAGGAUAGAGUCCAGGGACAUUUUACUUGUGAGCUUUAUCCCCAGCCUCUUUUAUUUCCUUUUAUUUAUUUUGAGACAAGGUUUCUCUAAGCUGCCCAGGCUGGCCUCAGACUUUCAAUUCUCUUGCCUCAGCCUCCAGAAUCACUGGGAUUCCAGGUGUGCACCCCCACACCUGGUUAGCAACAUGGAGUAGGUAUUUUGUUGUUGUUGCUGAUUUGGCUGAAGUUGUUAGCUGAAUAGUUUCUCUUACCUCUCCUCUCCCCCGUCCCUCACCUUGUAACUAAAUUUAGGACAUCUCAGAAUGUUUCUGUUUAUCACAAUUCGAUUCAAUCCCAACGUUAACUACCGGGAGUUAUACUCCAUGGGUAUAAGGGCUCAGGCCUUGAAGCCCACCCUUACUUCAGAGGCUGGCUGUGUGUCACAUCCCAGGUCACCACGUAUCUGUCUCUCUUGGCUACCAUGUUGGGAUGAUGAGAUCUCCAUAAUCCUCUUUCAGGUUCAAUGAUUUUCUGGAUCGACUCACAGAACUCAUGGAAACACUUUACUUCUCCUUUCCAGUUUACUUUGAGGGACGGAUUUCAGGAAAAGCCAGAUGACAGAUGCGGGGCAGAAGAAGGGGAGCACGCAGACAUGCCAGCCUCUGUGUGCCUGCCAAGCCAGAAGUUCUCCAAACUCCCAGGUACAGAGGUUUUCCUGAAGGUUUUCUCACACAGGCAUGAUGGCUUACACCACGAGCCAUGGAGGAUGACUCCAUUUCUAGCCUGUCCCCUCCCUAGAGGUUGGAGGCAGGGCUGACACACCAAGUUCUAACAAAGGCCUGGUCUUUCUGGUGACCAGCCCCCAUCAUGAAGUUACCUAGGGUCUUGCCAAGAGUGACCUCAUUAGAACAAAAGAUACUCCCAUCACUCAGGAAAUUCCAAGGGUCUGAAGAACUCUGUGUGAGGAACUGGGGACAAAGGCCAAAUGCAUAUGUCUUAUUAUAUGACAGGAAGUGCCUACCACCACCUUCUACCUAAGCAAUGCUGCAGAACACUCCACCUACCCCCAGCUCAAAAAUCCACAAAAUAUGUACUGUCAGGGGAGAGACUGUGGGACACAGAAAAAGAUAUGCUGAGUUUCAAAAGAGAAGUGCCCAUGAACUGCUAGAAUGCAGAAAUGCCCAGAAACCCUAGAACCUUGGAGAUGCAAAACCCAGCCCUCAUCCUUGAUCUACACCCUUGAUUGCAAAAUGUAACAUGAUUCAAGGGCAAUGCACAAGCACAGGGACUAUUGGCGUGUGGAGAUCAGGCCAUGCUCUGCUCUGAGUUCCAAUCGUGUUAAUAAGAAUGACCACGUCUGAAUUUAUCAUAUCAAUCAGAAUCACAUGGAUGGAGGGGCUUAUUAGACUCAUACUGGGAAAACCAGGUCCAUGAGCUGGGCCAUUAUCUUCUUUGAGCAGCUGAAGACCUGCGGCUCAGGUGAAGUAAACAAUUCAAGGUCAGGCAACCAAUACAGUGAGAGCCAAGACUGGAACCCAGGCUGUCUGGCACCAAAGCCCCCAGUGUAUGACUGUCCCAUUCUACCCGGGACAAAAGCAGUUCUAAUUAUACAACUAAUGGAUGGACCCCAAACUGCUCUAUAGAGUGCUUCUCAGGAGAUAAUCAACAGUCACCCC
rnacentral:lncRNA from 1 species